AGUGAACGCUGGCGGUAGGCCUAACACAUGCCAGUCGAACGGCAGCACAGUAAGAGCUUGCUCUUACGGGUGGCGAGUGGCGGACGGGUGAGGAAUACAUCGGAAUCUACUUUUUCGUGGGGGAUAACGUAGGGAAACUUACGCUAAUACCGCAUACGACCUACGGGUGAAAGCAGGGGAUCUUCGGACCUUUCGCGAUUGAAUGAGCCGAUGUCGGAUUAGCUAGUUGGCGGGGUAAAGGCCCACCAAGGCGACGAUCCGUAGCUGGCCUGAGAGGAUGAUCAGCCACACUGGAACUGAGACACGGUCCAGACUCCUACGGGAGGCAGCAGUGGGGAAUAUUGGACAAUGGGCGCAAGCCUGAUCCAGCCAUACCGCGUGGGUGAAGAAGGCCUUCGGGUUGUAAAGCCCUUUUGUUGGGAAAGAAAAGCAGCAGGUUAAUACCCCGCUGUUCUGACGGUACCCAAAGAAUAAGCACCGGCUAACUUCGUG
rnacentral:rRNA from 1 species